GGAGGAGGCAGCGGCGGCGGCAGCGCGUCCUCGGUCCCCAGGACCACGGCUUCUUUCCUGCCAGAUCUAUCCAUCUGGCCAUCCAUCCGUGGGGGUCUGCAAUGGCCACCUUUAGCCGCCAGGAAUUUUUCCAGCAGCUACUACAAGGCUGUCUCCUGCCUACUGCCCAGCAGGGCCUUGACCAGAUCUGGCUGCUCCUUGCCAUCUGCCUCGCCUGCCGCCUCCUCUGGAGGCUCGGGUUGCCAUCCUACCUGAAGCAUGCAAGCACCGUGGCAGGCGGGUUCUUCAGCCUCUACCACUUCUUCCAGCUGCACAUGGUUUGGGUCGUGCUGCUCAGCCUCCUGUGCUACCUCGUGCUGUUCCUCUGCCGACAUUCCUCCCAUCGAGGCGUCUUCCUAUCCGUCACCAUCCUCAUCUACUUACUCAUGGGUGAGAUGCACAUGGUAGACACCGUGACAUGGCACAAGAUGCGAGGUAGGUAGCCCUGCCCCUCUCACCUGCCCAACCCCCCUGCCCCACUCCUCGUCUCCUAACUGCCCCCACCCUGUGCCUUUCCUCCCCUGCUUUUCUCCCUCACCUGCCCACCCCACUGGACGUGCAGACCUCACAUUACUCUCGGGUCCGUGUCUCUUUCCACCGUGCAUUUUCCCGAAGUCUGUCUGUCUCGUGUCAUGUAUGUGCCUGACUCUCUGGAGUAAGGGCAUCUAUCUGUCCUGGGCUUCCUUGCCCACCUGCCUAUCUGUCCCAUGCCCACCUAUCCAUCCUUGUGCCCGCUUUUCCUACCACAUCUCACCUGGUGCACCUCCUCCUUGCCAUGCUGAUCUGCUCUCUGCCCAUCCACUUG
rnacentral:lncRNA from 1 species